rnacentral:lncRNA from 1 species
AUUGCAUAUGCACUUGUUUAUUAUUAAUGAAUUUGCUUUGUCUUGAAUUUUACCAGUCAAGUAGCAUUUUUUCAUCAAUGGUGUAUCAAAAGUUCAAGGAGGUAGAGCUUGCAUGAGGUUCCGUUGGUGAAGUGUACGGCAGUGUAAAUGUUUAGGUAACCACAACUUCCAUAAACCUCAGCUAGUAAGUUCCAAAGCCAAAUCUUUGUUUUACAAUUUUCACAAAUAUGAGUGUUCCAUGCUGAUACUAUUUCUGGGACUUGCAAAUUUUCUUUAUGUCAGUUGGUUACAUUGCUUACACACUAAGGCAAAGUGCUUGUACCUUGAGCUUUUGAAGCCUACCUGUUGCAUUGAAUAUUUCCAUUUUUAAGCCAACUUUGAGC